UACGGGGGGAGCAAGCGUUGUCCGGAUUUAUUGGGCGUAAAGAGCUCGUAGGCGGCUUGUCGCGUCGAAUGUGAAAUCUCGGGGCUCAACUCCGAGCUUGCAUUCGAUACGGGCAGGCUAGAGUCCGGAAGAGGAGAGUGGAAUUCCUGGUGUAGCGGUGAAAUGCGCAGAUAUCAGGAAGAACACCCGUGGCGAAGGCGGCUCUCUGGGACGGUACUGACGCUGAGACGCGAAAGCGUGGGGAGCGAACAGG
rnacentral:rRNA from 1 species